GGAAUUAUUUUCACCUGUAGAUCAGGAAGACACUCAGUCCAUCACUGAUUGCAAUCAACAUACCAGAGGGAGCUCAUCCUCUGGAUUUAAGGAAGUCUAACCCUGCUGAUCCUCAGUCUGUGACUGUGGCUCAGAAGAAGGAAUAUGAAAUCAUUGCUCAGUGGGUGAAGGCAGAAAGAAAGAAGUCAUUAUGAGUUCAUUUUUGUGAACAAUUUAUUUCAACAUUGUAAACUUGUAAAAUAUUGAAUAAAUCCAUUUAUUUUCCAAAGAAA